rnacentral:tRNA from 1 species
GGGGAUAUAGUGUAGUGGUUUAACACGCCUGGCUGUCUACCAGGUAGCACGGGUUCAAAUCCCGUUAUCCUCG